GAUUAACAUAAAAAAAGAUGGGUUUUUGGUUACGUAGUAACUUUAUUUCAUCAUAGUGAUAAAAUUUAACAAACCUCGGAAAACAGAGAAAGUAAAAGAGAAGAAAGAAAGAGAAAAGAUAUUGAAAAAGCGACAGCGAAGAGAGCGAUGUCGGAGAUGGCACUGAAGACGACAUUCAAGACGACAAAAAAAGAGAGAAAGAUAACAAUAAAUAACGGCACAGAAAAUCAAAUGUCAGAUAAGACCAUUUAUGACUUCUGUUGAAGAAUCAGUUAAAGCGCACGAAGUGUUAUAUGUAAUUUAUUUAAUUUUAGAUAAGUGUGUUUGUGCGGAUUCCUUGGAAGAAGCAAAAAGAGUUAUAGAAAAAUACGAGACUAAAAAAAAAAAGGUUUUUGCUCUCCAGAUUGAUGCUAACACGGGAUGAAAAAGAAAAGUUUGCGCUAAAAGCUUUAAAAAUAAAUGGUGACAGAAUAAAGAAGGUGCACGGUGAAAACGAACUAUAUGGAUCACAUUCCCUGAAUAACAUUCUGGACAUUUUGUUGGAAAGUCGAUGAAAGAAUCAUUAAAAGAAUUUCCCAACUAGUUGCGGAAGGAGUGCGUCAAGUACGAGAAAUGGAAACACACAUUAAAAUAUAAGUGAAGAAUGAAUUGUUUAGAGACGACAGUGUUCCACCUACAACAAACAGGAGAUUUCAUCCUAAAAGAACAGGGCGACUGUAAGAAGAUUAGCAAAAAUGGACCCGAAGAUAUCUUCUUUUUUAGAAGGUAUGGUGAAGUUGUCAACAACGAAGAUUGUAUACAGCCAAGUGGUGAUAAGGAUGACAACGAUGAUAUCAAGGGUCGUGUAGCAGAUAUUAUUCCACCCUGAAACGAAAGGAAAAGGAGAAAGAUAAUGAUGGAAGUAAUGAAUUAAAACGUAAAAGAAGGCACACAACUCGUCAGCACCGGUACUUUAUUUUAGUUAUACCGCCAACAAUCAGAAUACGUACCAAGAGAUAAAGCCGGUAUCUGGAUGUUAUGCAACGUAGAAAUAAUCAGUGACGAACAUUCAAAUAAUGAAGCAGAAGGAUACGUACAUCCACCGAAGUUCAAAAGCAAAGAAGUCAUUGUACUGCUUUACUUUAUUUACAGCAAACGCUUGGGUAAAGAUGAAUUGGAUGCAAGGAUACCUGGAAGCUACUUGGAUCGAGAUAUUAGAGGAAAGGUUGAGCCACUGUUGUUAAUGAACCCAUAGAUAAGGUUUUUAAAUUACUAAUUUAAUUUCUUACAACUAUUUCUAACACUUUAAUCUUUAUAAAUGUGUAUAAUUUUUGUAAAUAUAUCUGUAUAUACAAUAACGUUUAAAAAAAAUUUUUAACUAACAAACUUAUUACAUGCAUUAUUCUAUAAAACCUUU